UCAAGCAUGAGAAGAGUAUUCGGUGGAUGCCUUGGCACACACAGGCGAUGAAGGACGUGAUAGGAUGCGAUAAGCUGCGGGGAGGUUCCAAUACCCUUUGAUCCGCAGAUUUCCGAAUGGGGCAACCCACUUUAAGUGAUCAGUGUUUUAGAGUUUGUUUGCAAAUUCUAAUCUCUGAUCACUAUUAUAAAGUAAUUUAAACUGAAUACAUAGGUUUAAAUAGCGAACCAGGUGAACUGAAAUAUCUAAGUAGCCUGAGGAAAAGAAAUCAAUUGAGACUCCGCUAGUAGUGACGAGCGAACGCGGACUAGACCAGUAGCUAUAGAAAAAUAAUUGGAAUCUGUUGGAAACCAGAGCCAUAGUAGGUGAUAGCCCUGUAUAAGUAAUAUAUUUAUAGUUCGUGAGUAAGGCGGGACACGUGAAAUCCUGUCUGAAUAUGGGGGGGCCACCCUCCAAGUCUAAGUACUCGUGUGUGACCGAUAGUGAACUAGUACCGUGAGGGAAAGGUGAAAAGCACCCCGACAAGGGGAAUGAAAUAGUACCUGAAACCGAAUACUUACAAGCAGUCGGAGGCUCGCAAGGGCUGACGGCGUACCUCUUGUAUAAUGGGUCAGCGACUUAGUGUAAGUGGCAAGCUUAAGCCGUUAGGUGUAGGCGCAGCGAAAGCGAGUGUUAAAAGCGCGUUAAGUCUCUUGCAUUAGACCCGAAACUUAGUGAUCUAGCCAUGGUCAGGCUGAAGGUGAGGUAACACUUGCUGGAGGGCCGAACUCACGUCUGUUGAAAAAGACGGGGAUGAACUGUGGCUAGGGGUGAAAGGCCAAUCAAACUGAGAUAUAGCUGGUUCUCCGCGAAAUCUAUUUAGGUAGAGCGUCAAGAUAAUACACUGUUGGGGGUAGAGCACUUAUUCGGCUAGGGGGUCCCAAAGACUUACCAACCCGAGUAAAACUCCGAAUACCAACAAGUGCUUUCUUGGCAGGCAGCACGUGGGUGAUAACGUCCACGAGCGAGAGGGGAAUAACCCAGACCGUCAAUUAAGGUCCCCAAAUCAUAGUUAAGUGUGAAAGGAUGUUGAAACUCCAACACAGUCAGGAAGUUGGCUUAGAAGCAGCCAUCUUUUAAAGAUAGCGUAAUAGCUCACUGAUCUAAUUAAGAGUUUCGGCGCCUAAGAUGUAUCGGGGCUAAAACUAUGUACCGAAAUUACGGAUAUGUUAUAUAACUUUGUGGCGAUUAGUAUUGAGUGGUCAGUAGUCAGCAAUUUGUUGACCUCGUUGACCACUGACCAUUUUGUACUAAUCGCCCCUUAUAUAAUAUGUGGUAGCGGAGCUCUCUGUAAGUCUGUGAAGGUGUAUCGUAAGGUAUGCUGGAGAUAUCAGAGGUGAGAAUGCUGACAUGAGUAACGAUCAGGGGAGCGAGAAACUCCCCCGCCGAAAUCCCAAGGUUUCCUGCUUAAAGCUAAUCUUAGCAGGGUUAGUCGGACCCUAAGGCGAGGCCGAAAGGCGUAGUCGAUGGAAAACAGGUUAAUAUUCCUGUACCAGUGUGGAUGUGACGCAUCUAGUAACUUGUUCUCUCUUAUUGGAUUGAGAGGGCCGGGAAUAGGUGCCAGGAAAUAGCCCACACAUAGACCGUACCUUAAACCGACACAGGUGGGAUGGUAGAGUAUACCAAGGUGUUUGAGAUAACGAUGCUGAAGGAACUAGGCAAUUUGCACUCGUAACUUCGGAAGAAGAGUGGCCUCUUUAUAGGCAACUAUAAUUAGGUGGCACAGAGCAGGGGGUGGCGACUGUUUAUUAAAAACACAGGGCUAUGCUAAGCGGUAUAACGCGAUGUAUAUGGUCUGACGCCUGCCCGGUGCCGGAAGGUUAAGUGAUGGAGUGCAAGCUCUGGAUCGAAGCCCCGGUGAACGGCGGCCGUAACUAUGACGGUCCUAAGGUAGCGAAAUUCCUUGUCGGGUAAG
rnacentral:rRNA from 1 species